rnacentral:lncRNA from 1 species
UAUAUAUAUAUAUAUAUAUAGAGUUGAGCUAGAAUACUAUCGGUAGUAAACGAGCCAUUUUACUACCGAUUUGUUUUCGAUGAUAGAGCUUCCAAAUUGACGAUCGGCUCCGUUAAAUAUGAUCUAAAUCAUUUAAACUACCUAGAAAUCAAAUAUCACGCACUUUCGAUAUUGUUCUUUUAUCCAUCAAGUGAACAGAAAAAUGAAUGGCUAAAAAUGAAUACUCUUUAAAAAAUAAUGAUAGGAGUCUUGUAAUCAAGAUCAAGAGUAUAGAUCUUGUUUUAAAUAGUUUAAAGAAUUUUCUAACAAAAAUUCAAUUGAUUUGGAUAUCUUUACGUCGUUAAAUGAGAAAACGCCUCUUAUCGAUCUUUAAAAUUAUAAAUUUUGAAACCCUUUGAUCAUUAGGCAAAUGAUGUCGAAAAGAUUUGAAAUUUGAUUUCUAAACACUUCAAGUGGUAUAGAUCAUAUUCAACGGAGCCGAUCGUCAAUUUGGAAGCUUUAUUAUCGAAAACAAAUCGGUAGUAUAAUGAC